rnacentral:rRNA from 1 species
CGGGAGGUAAUGUCUGGGAAACUGCCUGAUGGAGGGGGAUAACGUACUGGAAACGGUAGCUAAUACCGCAUAACGUCGCAAGACCAAAGUGGGGACCUUCGGGCCUCAUGCCAUCAGAUGUGCCCAGAUGGGAUUAGCUAGUAGGUGGGGUAACGGCUCACCUAGGCGACGAUCCCUAGCUGGUCUGAGAGGAUGACCAGCCACACUGGAACUGAGACACGGUCCAG